ACUCCAUUUUCUUCCCUAGAAAAGAAAUGUAAGCAACAACCCAACCAAGAAGCCCGCCCUAUGCCAUCUCCGCCCAGCCCCAGCCGCCUGCCUAUCGCUCUUCUAAGCCCGCUUGACAAUAACCGUUCAUCACAAAGAAGAAAACAAAGUAUGGAGAAGCAGAAACCAAUCUACGGCCGCAAAUUGACGUCAGACUUUGAAAAAUGGACUGCGAGGUGGUGGUGCGCUGAGCUCCUUCUGCUUCCCAGGGCAGGCGUGCGGCUGGGCGCCUCCUGUCACGACCCCUCUCAGCCCCAGUUCAGCCGGGAGGCGACUACAGUCCAGGGAGCAGAUCUGACUUUCACAGAGACCUAAUUGAGGAAAGGCCUUACCAGAAAGGUAUGGAGAUUUCGGUGCCAGUGCCUCCUUGAGGGCAACCCCCUUUGUGAGAAGGGUCUUCCGACGAACCCCUGAGAGCGACAUCACAGGAUCCAGACGUGUAUCAUGAGGUGGGCCCCCCGAUCUGUCUGCCAAGACCUUCAUCUGAACCGGACUCACGGCCUGCAGCUGCCGCAGGGAGCAAGUGGCUUUUGAACCCCAGCCAGAGCUGUGGCUGUGCCAGAGCAGAGACUCCUAGAAGGACACUCAAGUGUGCGUGGAGGGAGGGGAGGGGUCACUGAGAAGACGGGCAUUGCAGAGGCAUCCCGGGGCAGGGCUAUGGUGCGUCAAGGCCGCGUGGGAAGUGUCAGUGAAGGUGAGUCUGGGUUCGCAGUAGCCCGGGAGCUGCUUCCUGGUUUUCCCUUGGGCAGCCCAGUUCUUGUCUCAGCAUCUCGACCCUUCUCUGUCUGUGCACCUGCUCUGUUCUCUCUCUGUUCACUCAGCUCAUGCUGCUUACCCCCCAUUUCCACUCAUCUAUAGUUUUGAUUUAUUUGAGCCAAUGGCCUCCCCAGUCCUGUCUUUGCACAAACUUUCUGCUCUAUUAUCCAUUACCACCAAUGGCAGUUUUCCUCUGAGUAUCUUUGCUUAAACCCCAGAAGGAACCUGAUCUUCUUUAUCCCCCAGACCACAGGUCACUAGCCACUCUACGAUCUGUUUCUCUCAGGUCCCAUGCUUGCCCAUCAGCUGAGGCUGGGAAGGGCUCAUGGGCUACUGAGGCGAUGAGGGUUUGGGGUGGGGCAGGUUGUUUACAAUGGGCUGUAGAUGGUUAGGAAGUGAUCAGCAAUCCUAGGACAUGCAGGUAAGUCACACUGUCUCAACAACAAACUCCAGGUUUUUAUGCAGAUUAUUAUGUGGAUUAAUGAGCCAGUUAGUGGAAGUGCGCAGGUAGAUCUGACCCCUCCUCUCCGUCCCCACGGCUGCUUUCUUAGUUCAGGCCUUCAGCAUCUCUCACUGGACUAACCCAAAAGUCUUCCACCUGGACCCUUGGCCUCCCAUUUUGCCCCUCCCUCCAUUGGAUCAAAUCUAUCGUGUGCAGAAUCACCAUAGUGAGCUUUCUAAACUAUCAAUUUGAAGAGCUACAAGAUCAAGUGCUGGUGAGGAUGUGAUGAAACAGGCAUCUUAUAUUUUACUGACAGCGCAUGAUGUUGUUGCAGGUUUAGGGGAAAGUAAGCUAGCAAUAUCUUUUGAAAUUAAAAAUACCGUAACCUUUGAUUCCUUGUUCUGGCUUUCGGCAAUCUACCCUGUGGACAUAAAAGCACCCAUAUUCAGUACUACACGGGAAAGGCUAUUGUAGCAUUAUUUUAGGUGUGAACAUAAUUGUAAAUAACCCGAAUAUCCAACAGUAAAUGGUUGAAUAAAUUCUACUACUGCCAUACACUGGAAAAUUAUACACAUAUUUUUAAAAAAUGAGUUAAAUGGCAUACCUAUUGACUAGGAGGAAUAUCACCAUAUAAGAGAAGCCAUUUGCUUAGUAAACAGCAUGAUGUAUUUUUUAAAAAAGUACGAACAGUGGCAAAUAAAUGCGUGUACAUGCUCACAUUUGUUUGAUAAACAUGGAAACAGGUGUGGAAAAAUUAUCGGGGGUGGGGCACGGUUUCUCAGUCUUAAUAAGCAUCAGAAUCUCCUGAAGGGCUUGUAGGAGAUUGCCUUUCUUUCUUUCUUUCUUUCUUUCUUUCUUUUUCAAUAUUUUUGAUAUAAAAUUGACAAAGAAUAUUAUAUGCAUGGCAGGUGUACGACGUAAUGACUGAUACAUAUAUAUUGCAAAAUGAUCACUGUAGUAAGUCUAGUUAACUUCCAUCACCAUGAUAGUUACAAACUUUCUUGUGAUUAGGAGUUUAAGGUCUGCUCUCCUAGCGACUUCCAAAUACGCAGUAGAGUGUUAGGAACUCCACUCGGCUUGCAUUUCUGACAGGCUCCCAGGUGAUGCUAAUGUCGUUGUUUCGUGGACCACACUUGAGAACCACUGGUGUACAGGAGUAAGGGGAAUGGGGUGGGAGAAAUUCGGGCAGUUUCCUUUCUGUUAUUUAUGCGCUUUCAUUGAUUUUAGGACACUUACAUGACUGUUAGCGAUUUUGAAGAGGAAAGAAAGGCCCUAGAAAAGGGAAGGGUGGCUGCUCAGCCCAAGCCCCUCCCCUCCCCCACACCUUUAGUGGCUCCCUGGGGCGCACAGGAUGAAGUCCCGACUCAGCGUGGCCGCAGGGCCCCUCGGAGUGGGAUCCCUGCCUUUACUCCUUUGUGCCCAGUUGGCCUCCAGUGCUUGGCCAGGCUACCCGCAGCCUCCCGAAUGUGCCCGCUGCGCCUCGCAGCCUGGCCUUGCUUCUGCAGCGCCUUGCUGCGCUCCUCAGAGGCAGGGGAUGGCUGGCUAGUCUUUGGAUUCCCAGCAUGAAGUGCAAUUCUGUGCAGGUGGAGCAGGCGCUAUUUUAUCUCAAAUGUGGGGCAGAGUGGACAGGUGUGGGCUGAGCAUCUGUGCCUCUCCUCGAAGCUCUUCAGCCGCUCCUCAGUCUUCCUGAACUCAGCCCGUCUAAGUGGGUAAGAGUUCAGGGAGGAUGGGGGGCGCAGGGAGGCCCCGUGGGUGAUUUCGCAGGGGCUGCGCCAUCACGCUAGUUUCCCUCUGGAGCAGGGGUGCCUGUGGACGUGGGUAUGUGGGCAUGCAUGUGCUCGUCUACGUGGCAAAGCCUCACAUUGGUGUGGGGCUCUCCAGUUUACAAAGUGUUUCAUGCCCAUCAUCCCACGAAGUCCCCAUGAAACCCUGUGACUUACGCAGAGUAUUACCAUUUCCAUGUUUCUGCUGAAGAUAAGCCUAGAGUUUGAGCGACUCACCCAGGAUGGCGCCUUGAGGAUGCCCAUCGAGACGCAGAAUAGUGGUGCUGCCUGGUUCUGUUUCUGGGUGCUGAGGAUGGGUAGGCAGCGUCCAGGGACCUAGUUCAGGUCCUCCUUCCUGGGACCCAUCAGCCCCGGGAGGGCGCUGCCGCGGCGUCCUGACACCCGAUCCAUCAGCCUGUCCCUCGACAAACAGGCAUCGACCUCUGUGACACGGUACGUGUAUAUCUGUCUUUGACCCUGGUUCCUGACGGAGCUUCUAAUCUCUGCAGAAUGUCCUGGGUGGCAGAUGUGUCUUUUGUGUGCUGGUGAGGUGACUGGUAGCAGGGCACCCAGGCCGGAUGGGGACUGGUCAUCAGAUGGGGACCAAAAAGGCACAAUUAAAGGGUCAGAUUUCAGCCCCGCCCCCGCCUCCCGGGAGAGAAGAGGAGCCGUUGAUUGACUUAAUGAUUGACAUACCUGGGCAAUGAGGCCUCCACCAACAGAGUUUCCAAGUCAGUACCAUGAGCCAGGAGCGGGGUGCACCCCAGUCCCUGGAGGCGGAAGCUCCUGUACUUGGGGCCCUGCAGACCAGCCCUGGGUCCUGUUCAGGUGGCUGUUACCUACAGCGUUGCCAUGUCCUCUACAGGAAACGGUAAGUGUAACUAAGUGUUCCUUUGAGCUUUGUGAGCCGGAAUGGCAGAUGGCCAGACCUGCGGAGGGGGUCACGGGGGCCCCUGACUUGCAGCCAGUCAAGUGGCAGCCCAGGGCCUACGGCCGGCAUCCGAGGUGGGGGGCAGACUGUGGGACUGAACCCCUCACCUGUGGGGGCCGCGCUGAUCCCGGGUACCUAGUGUCAGAAUCGAGGUGAAGUAGGGGACAUAUCACUUAGUUCUGUCUGCGAGAGCUGUGCAGGGCGGCCGGUUCUGUUACUUUGCUACCAGCUCUGGGAAUAGGAAGGGAAUCUUGCCGAGGCUGCCAGCCUACAGCAAUAAGCUGCGUCCUCCAAGCCCCUCUGCACAGACCAGCGCCCCCCUCCCUGUAGUCAGGAAGCCUUUCUUCCUCUCUGGGAAGGCCGGGCAUAAUCCAUCCGGGAAGCCAAGGGUGGAAGCUGUCUGCCUGUAACUUCUGCUUCAGCAAAUGGCUGGUUACCUUCUUGAAGAGGAAGAGAAAAUUGCUUCCAGAAUAAAACUCAAAUUAACAUCUCAAUAAAUCAUCCUGACGUGUCUCUCCUCCCCAGGGGGAUGCGAAGGAGUGUUUAUGUUGCCGGAUGGGAGGGGCAGGCCCUGGAGCAGGGCGGACAGUUUUAACCAAAGGAGGAGUUUUAAUAAAAGGUGGAGCAUUACCUGUGUUUUCUCCUCCUGGCUUCCUGAGACACCAGCUGAGCAGGCCUCCCUAAAGGGGAAAUGGGCUGGUGCUCCUUCUCCAGAGAGCUUGGCUGAGGUUUAACGAGGCAGUGUUUGUUCAUAGAAUCUGAAAUUCGGAAGGGGCCCAAAAAGAAAGGGUGAAAAAUAAUAAAAUUGCUGAAAACACCUGCUGAGGCAGAGCAUGCCCUGCCCACCUGCCUGUCCUGGGACGUGGGAGCCGGGACCUUGCUGCAGGGGAGCGAGUCCUGCAAGACCUUUUGGCCGUGUCGUUCCUCUGUGCCUGUGUGCUGCCUGUGCACUUGGUCUGUGCUGGGUGCCCAGGGACCAGAGGGAGUAGCUGUGUACCCACCCACCUCGAGCGCACCAUGCCAACAAAUGAGGCACACAAUGCCAUUCCCCGACAAUGCCAACAAAUGAGGCACACAAUGCCAUUCCCCGACGGCCCCUUGCUCAGAUCACAUCUCCAUUAAUACCCUCCUGCAGUUCAUUGUGAUUGGCAUCGCUACAAUAAACAGUAAAUGAGUGAAUAAUAAUUGGCCAUCUAUUUGAAAGUGUUACAGAGGUUGCCAUGGCAAUCACACCUGUUAUUAAGCUUUAUUAAGCGGCAGCUGCGGGGAGGGAGGUGGAGGAGCUGGGCCUCCGGGCACCCUGCAGAGGGUCUGGCCUGCUCAGUGACCUUUCCCAGGAGCUCUUGAGACACGGGGGCCAGGU